CCUAGCCCAAACGCUGGUCUUGCAACGCGCGCGACUCAUCUGAUCGGCGCGGCUGAACCACCCGCCCCAAUGCCUUGGCCGACGAUUCGCUGCACAACCAACGAUUCCGUCCAAGUGUUUCACCCCCAUAAAGGCGCACAGGUCCACACCAUGAACCGUUAGUGCGUUCACUCAUCUCUUCGCUACCUGACGUCUAUCGACUCGGCUACGACGCUUCGCUACUAGUGCAACAACAACGGAUCUCAUUACGCAAACAAAAAAGAAAUGGCUUCUUUCGUUGGAGGUGUGCAAUAAAAGAAAAAAGGAAAAAUUCCAUUAGAGCUAGUGCCCGACUGCCACCUUAGUCCUAUCUGCAGAGAGAAAAACGCCGUCCGUCUUCUCUUUUCACGUCCUUAAUGGAUUGGGAUCCAGCCAACGUUGGCCAAAAAAAAGGGAAGGAAAGGAAAGAGGGCCUAUUCAUUUGGACUUUUGACUUCUCUACACACACACAUAGACAUAUACACUAGUCCCAAAAGUAUACAGGUACACUGACUCUUUGGCCGUCCCAUACUUUUUUCUUUUUCGGCUGGGAAAGAGGAGAGGGCUGAUUAAUCGCAUUACGGCGACAUGACCGGCCAACUCGUUACCUUUUCUCUCUCUCUCUCUCUUUCUCCAGACUACAGAAAUGCGAUCCAUUGCGCUGCUCCCUUUCUUAUCCCUUAAAAGAAAGAGAAACUUUUCGUUUUCUUUUGUGUGUGUGUGUAGAUAUUCCUUUAUUUUUUUUUUAAUUCAAUCGGCUUAUAGUUUUUGUGUGCCUCUCUCUUUCUCUGUGUGUGUGCGUGUGUAGUGUUUCAAUAGAGGAAUUUAGACAACACGUCGAAAAGGAGAGAAGACUUUGAAAAAAAGAAAAUCCUUGUUCCUCUUUGGGACCAUCGUCAGACAGGAUUAUUGUCAUUGUCCAUUCGCCAGUUGAAAUCCUUUUCGACUCUUAUUUUCUUUUCACAUUCGCCCCUCCCCUGCUCCCUAACCCACCGACAACAAUCCCAUUGAGGACAAUGUUUAUGCAACACCAAUAAAAGAUGUGCAGAGUAACAUGCGUCAUUACGAAUGUAGCAGACACACACACACACACCCUCACGAAUACGUAACUCUCUUUCUUCGCCCGUUUUUCCUGUGUCGUGUUGUUGUGAGAAGGACCAAAGUUAUCGCAGUCAAAGCAAAUGGGGAGGGAGAUUGAUUUCGACAUUUCGGUCAAAUGAAAACAUUCGAUCCAACGGCCAUUGUCUGAUCGGAUUAGGGGCCCCUAUUUUUCAGAUUCCAAAUGCCAUCGAAAGGAAAUCACCAAAGAAAAUAGCGAGUGCCUUUUCCAAUCUCGGACGAUGAUCGUGAAAAACCCACAUCAAAACAAAGUGGAAUGGAGAAACUGAAUAGACUCAAUCCCUUUUCGCCCCCCCCCCUCCUCACCCCGCACUGUUUUGCCAUUCACGAUUCACCUAUCGCUACGACUGACGUUCCCCUCUCGUCUUCGAUUGCUUUUGUCAGAGGCGAGGACUACCUGUGCACCCAACUUCUUCUUGUUGUGUUCUUUUGAUGGCUAUUUCAACCAAGGCGGCACAAAUAUUUUCCUCCUUUUUGCCCGCUGUUUUGUUUUGACUCUUGAGCAUGUUGCCUUCAACGUAUAAUCCUCUUUCAGUCAUACUUUUAGGUUUAUGUUCCUCGUUUUCUUGCUCCCUAAUAAGGUUAAUCCUUCAAAGAAGAGGGGAAAACAAAAAAGAAAUGGGCCCUGAAGGAAAAAGAUCCUUUUUUGCCUCAUCGCGUCCUUUCUUUUCAACACCUUUUCAUUAUGAACAACCUCAAAAGCCGGGCGAAGACGUGAACGAGACAGCCGUUCAGGAAUAAGAAAAAUAGAAACAAAAAAACAAAAACGUUCUUGUUCAUUAUUCGCAGCGAGCCACUAAUCGAUAGGAAACCGUCAAUCAUCACACCCACUAAAAACGUAAUAGUCACCCCACCCACUCUUGCUACUUCCCUACCCUACCCCUUACAAUUUGUCUUUUUGUUUUUGUUGAGAGGCAAUCGAUCGCCAGAGGACUUUGCUGUUCGUGACGCCCACAUCAAACAAUCAACAGCGAUCACUGAAAUUGAUUUCGUCCAGUUAGACGAUUGAACACGUCCCCGCGGACGUGAGCCACGGCGCAACCACCUCAGUCGGCGAUCCCGCCCGCCUACGCCAUCUAGCGGUCCUUUAGAGAACCAAGUCGAGUCAUCCAAGUUUCGCGUCGGUGAGGGGCAGCACUGAGGCAUCGAUCAAUAAACCACACACACAAUCAUCAUCCAACCAACCCCCACUCCCUCCUUGCAGCUAUGGAACCAACACGCAACGCACGUCGGUCGGCAUACAUAAACUAGCACCAAAGUCGUUGGUCAUAAAAAUCCUUCGACUCUCUCUCUCUCUCUCUUUCCUUCUCCGUCUCGCCUCCCUUUCUGCUUUUCACCCUCAUACAGGGAAACUUGCAUCCAUCUAUUACACAUCUCGCUUCUUCCCCCCUGUGCACCAUUCCGACUCCACCCCAACGGCUCUCCAACUUUCGGUUGCGUCCACACCCAAAAAUAUUCAUUUUUUGUUCCUCCUCCUCUGUUGAGUUUUACCGAUUUUCCCCCCAGACAUUCAUCAACUCUGCUUUUCACGUAAGAAAGUAAGAAUAAUGGCAAAACGCAAACAAGGACAUCAUCUUUGAUGAUCGAACGCACACCCCAUUUGAUCCAUUGCGCUUGUUAAAUUUGCGUUUCUAGACCAAGUCGCGACAGCCGCACAUCGUACCGUCUCUGCCUCUUUUUGUCUUGUGGCCAUUUCAAAAAAUCAAAAGAAAUUCUUUUCUCUACUUUUCCAAUAAAAAGCCAAAUGAAAAAGUAGAAGCAUUUCCAUAGAUACAAAAGAUAGGUGGUUGUGUGUGGCGCUUUAGGGCGCAGCGCGAGGAGGAGUACGUGGUAGGAAGGCUACCAACCAGCGCUUCGUAGAUGGCCUCUUUAUUUCCUUCUUCUGUAUCUAUGGAAAUGAUUCUCUUAAAAUGACGAUGCAUUUACCUGGAAAAGAAAUACGAAUUCCUGUAGGCAGAGGCAGAUAGUCCGAGUUGUCGUCUGCCAACAUCCGAGCAACGGAUGGACGUACAAUGGCGCACCACCCAGAAGUUUUGAUUUUUUCCCUUUUAGUGUUCCUUCGAGUCUUGUCGAGAUGGGUGAAAGAAAAGGCGCCCGACACCUGAAAAAUAAAACAAGAAGAAAAUAAAUCAAAUCAAUGUGUGCGCCAGGCAUUUUUGACGUUUUUUUUGUUUAAAUAGUUUGACAGGUUGGGGGAAAGAAUAUUUCAAAAAAAGAAAAGAAAACAGAAAAGAGAUGGACCGAUAUGUUUGUGACGUUGUACGCCCAACGUCAUAAAUCACCCCACACCGAAAUGAACCCAAACGGUUGACAAAUGUAUUUGGCCUUCCACCUCCACAGCGAAGCUCAUUCAUCGAAUUUCUGGGCACGUGGCCAACUAUUUUGUUUCCUCUCAAUCGAUUGUCGAACGAAAUUUCGGCGGAGCGGCCGGCCUCACAUCCAUCGCUCCUUGCUCUGCCGUAGUUUGAUCCUCGUCUACACCAAUUCAUUUCGUUUCCUUUGAGACGGAAUCCUCGUUAAGGAUUGCGUAAACAAGUCGGCGGAGGUGGGUGAGGGUGAGCAGAGAAAUAGAGAAAUAGGGAACGCGUGCGUACGCGGGGUGUGACGAAAAAGACGAAAAAGAAGAGCGAUGCAACGGGCGGCGAAAUGAAGAAGCCGAAAAACAAGACGCACGGCAAUUUCAAAAGCUUCUUUCCCGUCUCCUUUUUCACGGCGUCGACAAAAGCGGCAGGGAGAGCGGGAGAGAGAAAGAGAAAGAAAGAGAAGCUGAUGGAUGGGGAGGAGCGAAAGACAAGCAAAACAGCUGCAGCAACAACACGGAGCCGAACUCAUUUGACAAAACGAUAACAGCGAUGCCACCGAAGCUCUUGAUUGAAAACGAGUCCUAGUUUUCUCGGUCUAGGCCAAUGCAAACGAGACGCCUGCAUAAACUAAUAGCACCGAACUUUUUUUUAUUCCUCCGGCCAUUUGACACGGCUGACUGGACUCGAUCGAAACAUUGGCGAGUUUAGGGGGUGAGACGGAGAGAGAGAGGGAAACAGAUCAAUAGACACGCUAGUCGUACGUAGACGUCGUCCCUUUUCUCUCUUUCUUCUACCGACGACGCACUUUGACGCCCCCCGCCCGUUGAACAAAUGCGCCAUCGAUUGACUCUACAUUUUAAAAAAAGAAAAGAAAAGAGAAAGAAAGAAUCGGGCAUAGGAAAAAGAAAAAGAAAGGGUCGCUGUUCCCCCCUCUUUGACUUUUAGUAUCGAGAAAUUAAGUUUCCUGGCCUUUAUUUGCUAGCGAGGAAACGAGCAGCUGGACACGGUUGGCGCUACAGACGGUACACGUGUUUCUGGGAAAGAAUUUACCAAUGAAAGAACCCACGGAUUAUUUUUGGUCCAUUUCAUCACUAAACAAAACCACAAAAAAAAAAAAGUCGAAGGGAAACUGUAAAAGUGAACCAUCAAGGGCGUUUUAUUUGGACUAACAGAAAAAUUUUUUAAGGGGAAAAACCCUAUCAAACAAUCGGUUUUUUUUCUUUUCUUCUUUCCAACUCAAGUCCAUGAAAACUGAAACCCGAUUUCCUUUUGGUUAGCAGGGAGCAAAAUAAACCUGCACACACAACUUUUUGUACGUGUGUGUGUGUGUAGAUGUGUGUUGCGGUCGUCACUGGGACGGAUCAGGUUUCUCUAACGUCUCGUUGCACGCACGACAACUUGCGAUGCAAAAGAUUUCAGGGGGAGAAAACAUUUUCCAUCAUCGCGAUGGGUCGCGCAAAAAAGACGACAUUCUCUUCGAUUGGGAGGGGGGAAGAUGAAGAGAAUGAUCGUCAAAAUGGUAUUACGACAGUGUGGGUGUGUCACGACCGAGGAGAAAAAAAUGGACAUGAACCGUCAGAAAAUAGGAAAUUUUCCCGAUCGUAGAACGACGAAUGAAAACGUUUAGAGCAAUCAAUUUGCGUGCAGGCGUCCGACUUUGAGCAAAAGCACACCAGGAUGGCAAACGACGUCGUUUUUACCGGCGUGAAAACCAAACCAAUUGAUGCGACUGGUCACGUACACUGAAACUAGUUUCUGCAAAACAUUUCAACAGGGAAAGAACAAUAAAAGCGAAAGACCAUUGAACUUUACCAAUUUUCUUGUUGUUUUUUUUUUUCUACGAAAUAAAAGUAAAGUAAAGAAAGAAAGAAAAAACAAGUGAACGAUAAAUGUCGUUAGACAUUGCAGCAGAUCGAUCUUGCCCAUGAACAACAACAUGAUGGGAAAUGCUUCGGGGCGUUAUCUCAUCCAUUUUUCAUAUUCAUUUUUCUUACUCUACGACUCUGCUCUACGGGGAAAGAGAACCACUCGAAAAAUACACAUAUAUAUAUAUAUAUUUAUUUUUUUAUUUUCAACCCCCCACCCAAACAGAGAAACAUUUUGUAGACUAGUACCACCCCAAGAGACGCCGCCAUUGAAACGCAGUCAGUGGCUCUUUUUUAUUUCGGCUUUUUCCUCAUUUUACCUUUUGGAUAGAAAUUGAAAAACUAAAUUCCAAAAUGUAGGUUUUCUCACGCACUACACACACACACGACGACACACGUUAAUUUGUUUUGUGUGGCCAAGAACGUAUCGACAAGGACAGCACUGAAAUGCACUUUUGAGUUGAAUUUAUAUGUUCACUCGUAUUUCGUUUUUGGGCCCGUUAUUUUUUCAUUCGUAUCUCUCUUCUAAAAAUGUGUUUUUCGUCGUCUUCGUCGUAGGCUCACUACGAAAUCACUUGAAAUCAAGAGGCCCGAAACGAGAAGUUUGCAGCACACACAGACACACGAGACUCGUUUCAAGAAUUGAUUUCCAUGUCCAAAAUCAGCAAGAGUCAGUUAUUCACUUUUGCCAUCAAUUCAACCAGCACAUGUCCGAGAGAACACAUGACUUUCUCACUGUUGAAACUCGGUGGAAAUUAGCAAACAAAAUGAGAAAAGAAAUGCUAGCUGCCAGUGUGUCUUGGCUGCUGCUGUAUUGGGACUCGAGUACUAAACUAAAUGUAAAGAAGAAAAGGUCUGAUAUGGGCGCCAAAGGGCGCCACUAGUUUUCCUUGUGUGGCUGGCGCAGCGGCGCUGGCAAUGCUGGCAAACACCAUACAGAAUAGCGAAGGGCGGAGCUUCACAUUUUUUCCCCCUUCCAUGCCCCUUCUUUUUCUUCUUCAUGGCCUCCAAAACGUUGCCAGAUCAUACUUCGAAACGCAAAAAAAAAAUAGAUAUAUUUGUAAAUCUUUUUGAAUUUGUCGUGCUGGUGGUGUUUGCAAACGAAUCUCAAUAUUUAAUAUUCCAACAAUAAGAAAUGGGUCGAUUAAACGUAUAGCGAAUGAGUUGCAUAUGUUUCAACGACAAGUAAAUCCGUCAGCCUGACACAAGUGACACAUGUUGCCAAAAUGUGCAAAGCAGUGGACGAAAAUGGGAAAACGUCAUGAAAAAUCGAUGACAGACUAACCAGCCGUCGUCAAGUGUCUUGGUCAAUGCUCUUACACGAUUGUACGUCCAAUAAUAACAAUGCAUUAUUGAUACUAAAUGCAAAGCCGAUUACAAACGUAGUCUAGUUAGGCUGGUGGGGCUUUGUUUCGAUUUUGAUUCAUGGCGAAUGCUGGAGGGCGUGAACCAUUGGUGUUUUGGUUGUUGGAGUUGGGCCCACCGUCGUGACGCAUCAUCAGAUUAUAUUUUUGGUCGUCUUUUCCUUGCGUCGUCGAAUGCCCACACUUUUAUCUCUUUGACAGGUAGCUGUCUGGGGCCGAGUGGUUCACUGUCAUUCCAUUUCACACACAGCACAUCGGCCGACUAUUGUCAUCAGUGAUCUCGCCGUUAUAUUGGAUCCAGUCCAGCUGCACGUGGAGCCCCCUCCCCCCCCCCCUUUUUUUUUAUUCGUGGGGGAUGCCAUCGUCAGCUGUUUAGCACCGAACGACAAUGUGAUUGGACAUUCCUCUACCACUUUACAAAAGUUUCAACAGGAGCAGUUUCCAUCAGGACAUGAAUCAUGGUAGCAAGUGUGCAUUUCUCGCGUCUUUUGUUGUCAAUAUUUGACGAACAAGAAAUACGUAGACCACCCCCAGAUCCAUCAUCACCAAGUUGUCUAAAUGCACGUUGUGUAUAGUCUACAUACAACCCAACUUGUAGGUGUAUCAAGGAAGAAAAAUGUAUAGCUCGAAGGGGUAUGUGAACAAAACUUUUUUUUCUUCGAUACAAAUAUCGGUAAAUAUAGACCUACAUUAUAUACUAGAUGUGUAUUUCAGUUUGUCUAAAAUGCAUAGUAGAGGACUAUUAAAAAACACACACACGUGAAACAUUUCCCAGGCCUAUUGUGUGUAUAGACAGUAGACUAUAGGAAACUACGGGAGUGUGUUUGUCGUUUAGAUUUAGCCCACGUAAUACACCAGCAGAACUUUG
rnacentral:lncRNA from 1 species